rnacentral:rRNA from 1 species
UACAACUCUUAGCGGUGGAUCACUCGGCUCGUGCGUCGAUGAAGAACGCAGCUAGCUGCGAGAACUAAUGUGAAUUGCAGGACACAUUGAUCAUCGACAUUCCGAACGCACCUUGCGGCCCCGGGUUCUUCCCGGGGCUACGCCUGUCUGAGGGUCGCUU